UUGACCUCGGAUCAGGUAGGGAUACCCGCUGAACUUAAGCAUAUCAAUAAGCGGAGGAAAAGAAACCAACAGGGAUUGCCUCAGUAACGGCGAGUGAAGCGGCAACAGCUCAAAUUUGAAAUCUGGCCCUUCCCGGGUCUGAGUUGUAAUUUGUAGAGAGUGUUUCGGGCGAGACCGCGGUCUAAGUCCAUUGGAACAUGGUGUCAUAGAGGGUGAGAAUCCCGUAUGCGACCGUGGUUCGAGCCCAUGUGAAGCCUCUUCGACGAGUCGAGUUGUUUGGGAAUGCAGCUCUAAAUGGGUGGUAAAUUUCAUCUAAAGCUAAAUACUGGCUGGAGACCGAUAGCGCACAAGUAGAGUGAUCGAAAGAUGAAAAGCACUUUGGAAAGAGAGUUAAAAAGUACGUGAAAUUGUUGAAAGGGAAGCGCUUGCAACCAGACCUGCCCGUAGGCGAUCAGCCGCUGUUCUCAGCGGUGCACUCGUUCUGCGAUCAGGCCAGCAUCGGUUUGGGCGGUCGGAUAAAGGCCUUGGGAAUGUAGCUUCCUUUCGGGGGAGUCUUAUAGCCCUCGGUGCAAUGCGGCCAGCCGGGACCGAGGACCGCGCUUCGGCUAGGAUGCUGGCGUAAUGGUUGUCAGCGACCCGUCUUGAAACACGGACCAAGGAGUCUAACAUCUAUGCGAGUGUUUGGGUGUCAAACCCAUACGCGGAAUGAAGGUGAACGGAGGUGAGACCCUUAAGGGCGCAUCAUCGACCGAUCCAGAUGUCUUCGGAUGGAUUUGAGUAUGAGCAUAGCUGUUGGGACCCGAAAGAUGGUGAACUAUGCCUGAAUAGGGUGAAGCCAGAGGAAACUCUGGUGGAGGCUCGCAGCGGUUCUGACGUGCAAAUCGAUCGUCAAAUUUGGGUAUAGGGGCGAAAGACUGAUCGAACCAUCUAGUAGCUGGUUCCUGCCGAAGUUUCCCUCAGGAUAGCAGUAACGUCUUCAGUUUUAUGAGGUAAAGCGAAUGAUUAGAGGCCCUGGGGUUGAAACAACCUUAACCUAUUCUCAAACUUUAAAUAUGUAAGAAGUCCUUGUUACUUAGUUGAACGUGGACAUUUGAAUGUACCGUUACUAGUGGGCCAUUUUUGGUAAGCAGAACUGGCGAUGCGGGAUGAACCGAACGCGAGGUUAAGGUGCCGGAAUGCACGCUCAUCAGACACCACAAAAGGUGUUGAUUCAUCUAGACAGCCGGACGGUGGCCAUGGAAGUCGGAAACCGCUAAGGAGUGUGUAACAACUCACCGGCCGAAUGAAUCAGCCCUGAAAAUGGAUGGCGCUCAAGCGUGCUACCCAUACCUCGCCGCCAGGGUAGAAACGAUGCCCUGGCGAGUAGGCAGGCGUGGGGGUCAGUGACGAAGCCUUGGGAGUGAUCCCGGGUCGAACGGCCC
rnacentral:rRNA from 1 species